ACGAACGCUGGCGGCGUGCCUAAUACAUGCAAGUCGAACGCUUCUUUCCUCCCGAGUGCUUGCACUCAAUUGGAAAGAGGCGUGGCGGACGGGUGAGUAACACGUGGGUAACCUACCCAUCAGAGGGGGAUAACACUUGGAAACAGGUGCUAAUACCGCAUAACAGUUUAUGCCGCAUGGCAUAAGAGUGAAAGGCGCUUUCGGGUGUCGCUGAUGGAUGGACCCGCGGUGCAUUAGCUAGUUGGUGAGGUAACGGCUCACCAAGGCCACGAUGCAUAGCCGACCUGAGAGGGUGAUCGGCCACACUGGGACUGAGACACGGCCCAGACUCCUACGGGAGGCAGCAGUAGGGAAUCUUCGGCAAUGGACGAAAGUCUGACCGAGCAACGCCACGUGAGCGAAGAAGGUUUUCGGAUCGUAAAACUCUGUUGUUAGAGAAGAACAAGGACGUUAGUAACUGAACGUCCCCUGACGGUAUCUAACCAGAAAGACACGGCUAACUACGUG
rnacentral:rRNA from 1 species